UCCUGUUGUCUUGCUGUAUUAGGUGCGCAAUGGCUCUUGUCCAUCAAAGAGUUAGACGGAUAUUUUUUUCCUUCCCAAAUUCCAAUGCUGGUGCACUAGGAAGUGUUCACAGAUUGCAAGGGGAGAGGAGCUUGAAUCACCAUUAUGCUGUUUUCAGGGUUGUUUUGCCUGAGGAGGUGCUCAGGAAUAAAGUUGUAGAUGCAAAAAUUGCUGGGUGUGGUUGAAGCAAGCACUAAUCAGCUUUUGAAGAGGUUCACAAUUCAAGUUACGCUGACAACUAAAUAUUUGCCUAGUUGCUGAUGAUCUGUUCCCCUUAUUGGGUAUUAUGCCAAGUUCGCAAUACGCAUCAGGAUGGACAAGCUAAGUCUUGGAAUUGGACAGCUGUUUUAACUAUUCUUUAUUUCAUAUUUACAGAGCUGGUGUAGCUUGAGUUUGUAAUCUUUCCGAGAAAGACUGUAACAUUAAUGUGCAUUAGUACUAUAUCACUCUGUAUCCCCCUCGCCAACUAGAGAGAUGAAAGAAAAAGGAUUAUUUAUUUUGACAAGGUCUGGAGAUCA